UAACGCAGCUAACGCGUGAAGUAGACCGCCUGGGGAGUACGGUCGCAAGAUUAAAACUCAAAUGAAUUGACGGGGGCCCGCACAAGCGGUGGAUUAUGUGGAUUAAUUCGAUGCAACGCGAAAAACCUUACCUGGCCUUGACAUGUAACGAACUUUCCAGAGAUGGAUUGGUGCUCGAAAGAGAACGUUAACACAGGUGCUGCAUGGCUGUCGUCAGCUCGUGUCGUGAGAUGUUGGGUUAAGUCCCGCAACGAGCGCAACCCUUGCCAUUAAUUGCCAUCAUUUAGUUGGGCACUUUAAUGGGACUGCCGGUGACAAACCGGAGGAAGGUGGGGAUGACGUCAAGUCCUCAUGGCCCUUAUGGCCAGGGCUUCACACGUAAUACAAUGGUCGGCACAGAGGGUUGCCAAGCCGCGAGGUGGAGCCAAUCCCAGAAAGCCGAUCGUAGUCCGGAUUGUAGUCUGCAACUCGACUACAUGAAGUCGGAAUCGCUAGUAAUCGCGGAUCAGCAUGUCGCGGUGAAUACGUUCCCGGGCCUUGUACACACCGCCCGUCACACCAUGGGAGUGGGUUUUACCAGAAGUA
rnacentral:rRNA from 1 species